CUCCACUUGCACAAGCUCACGUUCAUCGUCAGUUUCUGGCAACUCAUCAAACCAGCGGAUCCAACGUUCCUCAUCUUGUUCUUGACCGACACCCACAAGCACCAGACGUGAGCUGUAAACACUGUGGAAGUCAGAAGAAUUAAGGCGGUCCUGGCCCCUACUGGAACGAGCUUUUGUUAUCCCACCUUCAGCCGACCCCCUCCGAGCACCAACUUGAGGUCUGGAAUGCAGGGGCCCCCAGUGUUCGAUCCCGCUGCUGAGGUCAGCUAUGCCAAAGUUCUCCUCCAUCUUCAAGACCGAUGCUGUCUGUUUUUCCUCCAC